rnacentral:rRNA from 1 species
UACGGAGGGUGCAAGCGUUAGUCGGAAUUAUUGGGCGUAAAGGGUGCGUAGGCGGGAAUGUAAGUCAAACGUGAAAUUCCGGAGCUCAACUCCGGGGCUGCAUUUGAAACUACAUUUCUUUGAGGGAGAGCGGAGAAAACGGAAUUCCAUGUGUAGCGGUGAAAUGCGUAGAUAUAUGGAAGAACACCUGUGGCGAAAGCGGUUUUCUAGCUUGACCUGACGCUGAGGCACGAAAGCAAGGGGAGCAAACAGG